rnacentral:RNase_P_RNA from 1 species
GGGUCAGUACUUAGCUGACGCAUUUUCCUUUGAGAAAGUGUGAGGAAAGUCCACCCACUUACCUAACGGUAAUGGCCACUUGCGGAAGCAAGAACUGGAAACAGUUGGCAACCACUCAGAAACGAGACCACCUGGAAAUAGGAUGAAAAAAGCGAAAGUGUUGGUGACAACACCGAGUUAACCUUUUGACGUUUUUUCAGGAAUGGGUGAAACGGUGAGCCCUGGUUGGUGCAAGUCAGAAAAUGGUUGUUAUACAACCUUAAAGACGCUUAGUUAAAUGCUAAGGCAGGUGAUAGCAGCUUGCUGCUGAAAACACCUGACAGAAGGUGGCUUAUUCUGAUCC